rnacentral:rRNA from 1 species
AUAAAAUUUAAUUUGUUACUAAAUGAUUAAUAGUUAUGUUCUUUAAAGUUAAAAAAUUUGGCGGUAUUUUUUCUUUUCAGAGGAACCUGUUCUAUAAAUGAUAAACCACGAUUAAUUUAUCCUUUAAUAGAAAUUUUCAUAUCGUCGUUAUUAAUAUUUUUAUAGGAUUUAAUAUUAAUAAUUUUUUGUUAGGAAAUGAAUCAGAUCAAGAUGAAGUUUAUAUAAAGGUUGAGAUGGGUUACAAUAAUUAUAAAUUUUUGAAUUUUUAAUUUAAAAUUAAUUUGAAAUUGGAUUUGAAAGUAAUUUUUUUUAAUAUAUUAAAAAUGAUUUUAAGUUUAAAAAUAUGU